AUAUCUCCUUAUUUUUUUUAUUAUAUAAGUAGGGAAGCUAUGCAUUUGCAUUAUGCAGACUCUCAGCUUGUUUUUGCAUAAGAAAUGCUUCCAGGUUCAAGCAAUACUGAUGUUUCUUAAAGUAAGGAAAUCGAAGGAAAACGGGUCAGUUUUAGCCAUUUUACAGAGAGAGAAAAAAAUAGGCGGGGGGCUGCGCUCACAAAACCCCUGCCUCCCCUGAAUUCGAACCCUAGUUACGGCCCUGCAGAUACAAUUUUCGUACGACACUACGAUAUAGGUAAACCCGUGUAGCAAUACAUUAUGAAUAAUCGCCGUGCAUUACAUUGUCAGAGUAAAUACUUAAAAAAAUGUAUUAGGUACAUUUUUAAAGCAUCGAACAUGAUACAUUAUCAUAAGGUCGCCUUUGGUACUUAUUUCUAUAUAAUUAAUUGGACACCAGUUAAUUACAAGCAUUACACUUUAAAGUGCGAGGUUUGGCAUGCCACACAAC
rnacentral:lncRNA from 1 species